rnacentral:rRNA from 1 species
CGUUGGUGACCAGCGGAGGGAUCAUUGCUGGAACGCGCUUCGGCGCACCCAGAAACCCUUUGUGAACUUAUACCUUACUGUUGUCUCGGCGUAGGCCGGCCUCUUCACUGAGGCCCCCUGGAGACGGGGAGCAGCCCGCCGGCGGCCAACCAGACUCUUGUUUCUUAGUGAAUCUCUGAGUAAAAAUCAUAAUGAAUCAAAACUUUCAACAACGGAUCUCUUGGUUCUGGCAUCGAUGAAGAACGCAGCGAAAUGCGAUAAGUAAUGUGAAUUGCAGAAUUCAGUGAAUCAUCGAAUCUUUGAACGCACAUUGCGCCCUCUGGUAUUCCGGAGGGCAUGCCUGUUCGAGCGUCAUUUCAACCCUCAAGCAUUGCUUGGUGUUGGGGCACGGCCCGUAAAAGGGCCGGCCCUGAAAUCUAGUGGCGAGCUCGCCAGGACCCCGAGCGUAGUAGUUUAUAUCUCGUUCUGGAAGGCCCUGGCGGUGCCCUGCCGUUAAACCCCCAACUUCUGAAAUUUUGACCUCGGAUCAGGUAGGAAUACCCGCUGAACUUAAGCAUAUCAAUAAGGCGGAGGA